UACGUAGGGUGCAGCGUUGUCCGGAAUUAUUGGGCGUAAAGAGCUCGUAGGCGGUCUGUCGCGUCUGUUGUGAAAACUCGAGGCUCAACCUCGGGCUUGCAGUGGAUACGGGCAGACUAGAGUGCGGUAGGGGAGACUGGAAUUCCUGGUGUAGCGGUGGAAUGCGCAGAUAUCAGGAGGAACACCGAUGGCGAAGGCAGGUCUCUGGGCCGCAACUGACGCUGAGGAGCGAAAGCAUGGGGAGCGAACAGG
rnacentral:rRNA from 1 species